CCCUUAGAUGUUCUGGGCCGCACGCGCGCUACACUGAUCAGUGCAACAAGCAUCCGUCCUUGGCCGACAGGCCCGGGCAAUCUUUGAACGCUGAUCGUGAUGGGGAUAGACUUUUGCAAUUUUUGGUCUUCAACGAGGAAUUCCUAGUAAACGCAAGUCAUCAACUUGCAUUGAUUACGUCCCUGCCCUUUGUACACACCGCCCGUCGCACCUACCGAUUGAAUGGUCCGGUGAAGCCUCCGGAUUGGCGCGCACCUCGGUGCCGCCGAGAAGUUGGCUAAACCUUACCAUUUAGAGGAAGGUGAAGUCGUANCA
rnacentral:rRNA from 1 species